GAGGAGGUUCCCAAUCGCAUACUGCUCAGCCAAUGAACGUUUGUCUAUUCAGCACGAACUCUGUCGACAACUGGCCCCCACGUCACGAGUGUCAUGCUUGGUCUCUGGGCCAGGUUCGGAUCCUUGAAUUUUCCAGAGGCUUGUCUAGCAAGCUCAUUACAACAGCUCUUUCCAACCCUUGUCCCUAGAGAUUCAAACUCGUAGGAUGGGACAAAUCUAAGAGCUCACAGGGGCAGCCAAGCUGACGUUGGAACUGUGCACAUAUGGGGAAGCCUUGUUCCUGUGCAACAGCUGGAAACACUUGACAUCUGUGAACCGGGUCUUGAGGAAAGAAGCAAAAAGCAAUACAGAGAAGCGAAACAGUGUCUGACAGACUGAAAAAGCAGACAUGCGGCCAAGCUCUUGAAAAUUAAUGAGAAAGGAGGAAAGAAUCAAUGUACAUUCUGCUUGCGGGGAACUGACACAAAAAGACACAAUAAACCUGGAACAAACACAGUCAGUUUAAAAAAUAGGUUAGAAAGAGUGGGCAAAUUCAAUUAUAGAAGUAAUUAGAAGAUCCAGGGCAGGCUGCCUUUGGGACUGUGCCAGCAAACAUGAAUUAAUAUGAGUGAAUAGAGAGCGCAUGUAGUAAUUAAGAAGCAAUCACCUAUAGCAAUGAGUACCUGAAAACAGCCCUAAAACCAUUAAUUCAGUGAUCAAAAAUAUUUUUAGAUGAUUAAUAUGGCAAAUUUAUUUUAAAAGACUAAUUUCUGGAAAGAUAUCAAGACAAUGGCAAACCAUUUGUUCCUCUGGCAUUUAUAUAGCUAAUUAAAUUUUAUAAUUUGCAACAACAGUCAUUAUUAUCUGAAAACAGUAAAGGCAAUAUCCCCCCCCCUUUUAGGUGUAGUUCUAAAAUCAAUAAGUUAAACUCGGCUCCCACUGGCCUUCUGCAAGUGGCUAAGCCUUGAUUAUUAUAUUAUUUCAAUGCGCAUUUUUCUUAUAGGACUGCGUCUCAUAAAUGUUAAACGUUUGAAAGAACAGGCAUAUUCUCAAAAAGGUUUUACAUGCUCCUAUACCCGGGAAGGAAUUCCACACACUGUUUAAUUUCAA